ACCACUGUCGCCGCAUAUCCUUGCAACAUAUAGGGGGAAAGUCUGAAAAGUGAGCGGAAGAUGGAGACUACCUGAUCCACCGCUGACGCCCCCAAUCUUCGCUAAUGAACUCGAUGGGCGCUGUCCAGCGGAAGAGGGAGAUCCUCGACUCGUGGCUCCUGGCAGCUCGUCUGCUGAAGGCGUCACGGCGCGCAUACUGGCCGGAAGAGCACCCGUGCAGCUGCCGCUCUAUCCGUUCUCGCAUCCGUUUGCGUCGUCGCUUUCGAAUCACAGGUUCCAACAAAACCUUUAAGGUUCGAACGUUGGGGUGGGCGCGAAGAUCUUCCCCUAUCGAUCCACGUCUUAACUUUGCUAAGAUCUCAAGGACUAACUCGACGAACUCGCAACACAAAAGACAGAAGAUUUAUACUAGUUCGGUCCACCAUUAUGAUGUAAUACCCUAUUCUAGUGUGGUGGUGGUGGAUUG